GACGAACGCUGGCGGCGUGCUUAACACAUGCAAGUCGAACGGAAAGGCCCUGCUUGCGGGGUACUCGAGUGGCGAACGGGUGAGUAACACGUGGGUGAUCUGCCCUGCACUUCGGGAUAAGCCUGGGAAACUGGGUCUAAUACCGGAUAGGAGCCAUCUUUAGUGUGAUGGUUGGAUAGUUUUUUCGGUGUAGGAUGAGCUCGCGGCCUAUCAGCUUGUUGGUGGGGUAAUGGCCUACCAAGGCGGCGACGGGUAGCCGGCCUGAGAGGGUGGACGGCCACAUUGGGACUGAGAUACGGCCCAGACUCCUACGGGAGGCAGCAGUGGGGAAUAUUGCACAAUGGGCGCAAGCCUGAUGCAGCGACGCCGCGUGGGGGAUGACGGCCUUCGGGUUGUAAACUCCUUUCGCUAGGGACGAAGCUUUUGUGACGGUACCUAGAUAAGAAGCACCGGCUAACUACGUG
rnacentral:rRNA from 1 species